rnacentral:rRNA from 1 species
AUUGAACGCUGGCGGCAGGCCUAACACAUGCAAGUAGAACGAGUAGCGGACGGGUGAGUAAUGUUGGGGAAAAUGCAUGAUGGCGGGGGAUAAAUACUGGAAACGGUAGAUAAUACCGAAUAACAUCGAAUGUGCCCAGAUGGGUUGAGCUGGCAGGUGGGUUAAAGGCUCACCUAGGCGACGAUCCCUAGCUGGUCUGAGAGGAUGACCCGCCACACUGGAACUGAGACACGGUCCAGACUCCUACGGGAGGCAGCAGUGGGGAAUAUUGCACAAUGGGCGCAAGCCUGAUGCAGCCAUGCCGCGUGUAUGAAGAAGGCCUUCGGGUUGUAAAGUACUUUCAGCGGGGAGGCGUUACCCGCAGAAGAAGCACCGGCUAACUCCGUGCCAGCAGCCGCGGUAAUUC